CGUUGUUUGGUUGGUCUAUUGGUAUUAUGUUUUGCUCUUGCUUCUACCAUAUACCAGACUCGUUAUUCUGAAGCAAACGUAUGGAAAGAGAAGCUUGAAAAAGAAGCUUGCUGCCAGAGAAUUAGCAUCAGGGGUCACGGGGAGCCUGCAGUCUAUCCCAGGGGACUCGGGGCAUGAGGCAAGAGCUUAUCCUGCACAGGCUCGGAGUGGAGUGUGGAGCCUAUCCCAGGGAACUUGGGGCACAAGGCAGGGGGCAUGGUCAGAGUACCAAGCCAUCACAGGGCACAAUCGCACACACAUUCACACACUAUGGACAAUUUGGAAAUGCCAAUCAGCGAAUGUCUUUGGACUGGGGGAGGAAAAACUGGGUGCCCGGAGGAAACCCCUAAGGCACAGGAAGAACAUGCAAGUUCUGCACACCUAGGGUGGAAGCAGGAUUCGAGCCACCACCCCCCAAAGGUAUGAGGCAAAUGUGCUAACCACUAAGCCACCAUACCUCCUGCAUGUUUAAGAUAAGAU